rnacentral:rRNA from 1 species
AGCAGCCGCGGUAAUACGUAGGGUGCAAGCGUUAUCCGGAAUUAUUGGGCGUAAAGGGCUCGUAGGCGGUUCGUCGCGUCCGGUGUGAAAGUCCAUCGCUUAACGGUGGAUCUGCGCCGGGUACGGGCGGGCUGGAGUGCGGUAGGGGAGACUGGAAUUCCCGGUGUAACGGUGGAAUGUGUAGAUAUCGGGAAGAACACCAAUGGCGAAGGCAGGUCUCUGGGCCGUUACUGACGCUGAGGAGCGAAAGCGUGGGGAGCGAACAGGAUUAGAUACCCUGGUAGUCCACGCCGUAAACGGUGGAUGCUGGAUGUGGGGCCCGUUCCACGGGUUCCGUGUCGGAGCUAACGCGUUAAGCAUCCCGCCUGGGGAGUACGGCCGCAAGGCUAAAACUCAAAGAAAUUGACGGGGGCCCGCACAAGCGGCGGAGCAUGCGGAUUAAUUCGAUGCAACGCGAAGAACCUUACCUGGGCUUGACAUGUUCCCGACAGCCGUAGAGAUAUGGCCUCCCUUCGGGGCGGGUUCACAGGUGGUGCAUGGUUGUCGUCAGCUCGUGUCGUGAGAUGUUGGGUUAAGUCCCGCAACGAGCGCAACCCUCGCCCUGUGUUGCCAGCACGUCAUGGUGGGAACUCACGGGGGACCGCCGGGGUCAACUCGGAGGAAGGUGGGGAUGACGUCAGAUCAUCAUGCCCCUUACGUCCAGGGCUUCACGCAUGCUACAAUGGCCGGUACAACGGGAUGCGACACGGCGACGUGGAGCGGAUCCCUGAAAACCGGUCUCAGUUCGGAUUGGAGUCUGCAACCCGACUCCAUGAAGGCGGAGUCGCUAGUAAUCGCGGAUCAGCAACGCCGCGGUGAAUGCGUUCCCGGGCCUUGUACACACCGCCCGUCAAGUCAUGAAAGUGGGUAGCACCCGAAGCCGGUGGCCUAACCCUUUGUGGAUGGAGCCGUCUAAGGUGAGACUCGUGAUUGGGACUAAGUCGUAACAAGGUAGCCGUACCGGAAGGUGCGGCUG